rnacentral:rRNA from 1 species
AUACGGAGGAUGCGAGCGUUAUCCGGAUUUAUUGGGUUUAAAGGGUGCGUAGGCUGUUCGACAAGUCAGGGGUGAAAGCCCAGUGCCUAACACUGGAACUGCCUUUGAUACUGCCGAGCUGGAAUACGGAUGCCGUGGGAGGAAUGAGUAGUGUAGCGGUGAAAUGCAUAGAUAUUACUCAGAACACCGAUUGCGAAGGCAUCUCACGAAUCCGUCAUUGACGCUGAGGCACGAAAGCGUGGGGAUCAAACAGGAUUAGAUACCCUGGUAGUCCACGCAGUAAACGAUGAUAACUAACCGUCGGCGAUACACAGUCGGUGGCCAAGCGAAAGCGAUAAGUUAUCCACCUGGGGAGUACGUUCGCAAGAAUGAAACUCAAAUGAAUUGGCGGGG